AUCUGGCUUCCCUCCCCAGCAGCACUUCACAACCAAUGAAGCUGAGGUUGUCGACUUCCCUCCCCGGCAGCAGAUCACAACUAAGGGAGUUUAAGUUUUCAGCUUCCCUCCCCCACAGCAGCUGGCAACCCUGCAAGAAGAGGUAGAGGUAGUCAAGCUCCCUCCCCAGAGGUCGAUUACAACCAAGGGAGUGGAGGUUUUCAUCCUCUCUCCCCAGAAGCUUCUGGCAACCCUUAAAGAGGAG